GAUGAACGCUGGCGGCGUGCCUAAUACAUGCAAGUCGAGCGAACGGACGAGAAGCUUGCUUCUCUGAUGUUAGCGGCGGACGGGUGAGUAACACGUGGAUAACCUACCUAUAAGACUGGGAUAACUUCGGGAAACCGUAGCUAAUACCGGAUAAUAUUUUGAACCGCAUGGUUCAAAAGUGAAAGACGGUCUUGCUGUCACUUAUAGAUGGAUCCGCGCUGCAUUAGCUAGUUGGUAAGGUAACGGCUUACCAAGGCAACGAUGCAUAGCCGACCUGAGAGGGUGAUCGGCCAAAACGGAACUGAGAAACGGUCCAGACUCCUACGGGAGGCAGCAGUAGGGAAUCUUCCGCAAUGGGCGAAAGCCUGACGGAGCAACGCCGCGUGAGUGAUGAAGGUCUUCGGAUCGUAAAACUCUGUUAUUAGGGAAGAACAAAUGUGUAAGUAACUGUGCACAUCUUGACGGUACCUAAUCAGAAAGCCACGGCUAACUACGUG
rnacentral:rRNA from 1 species